CCUACGGGUGGCAGCAGUGAGGAAUAUUGGUCAAUGGACGAGAGUCUGAACCAGCCAAGCCGCGUGAAGGAUGACUGCCCUCUGGGUUGUAAACUUCUUUUGUAUGGGAAUAAAUCAGGGUACGCAUACACUCUUGUCUGUACCAUAACAAUAAGGAUCGGCUAACUCCGUGCCAGCAGCCGCGGUAAUACGGAGGGUCCGAGCGUUAUCCGGAUUUAUUGGGUUUAAAGGGAGCGUAGGUGGAAUGGUAAGUCAGUUGUGAAAGGUUGGGGCUCAACCGUGGAAUUGCAGUUGAAACUGGCAGUCUAGAGUACAGUAGAGGUAGGCGGAAUUCGUGGUGUAGCGGUGAAAUGCUUAGAUAUCACGAAGAACUCCGAUUGCGAAGGCAGCUUACUGGACUGCAACUGACGCUGAUGCUCGAAAGUGUGGGUAUCAAACAGGAUUAGAUACCCGAGUAGUC
rnacentral:rRNA from 1 species